rnacentral:rRNA from 1 species
GAUCAUGGCUCAGGACGAACGCUGGCGGCGCGCCUAACACAUGCAAGUCGAACGAGAGAUGAAGAGCUUGCUCUUCAAAUCGAGUGGCGAACGGGUGAGUAACGCGUGAGGAACCUGCCUCAAAGAGGGGGACAACAGUUGGAAACGACUGCUAAUACCGCAUAAGCCCACGGCUCGGCAUCGAGCAGAGGGAAAAGGAGUGAUCCGCUUUGAGAUGGCCUCGCGUCCGA